rnacentral:tRNA from 2 species
GCCGGAGUGGCGGAAUGGCAGACGCACCAGACUCAAAAUCUGGCGCCCUCACGGGCGUAUGGGUUCAAGUCCCUUCUCCGGUACCA